rnacentral:pre_miRNA from 1 species
AAAAAAGACACACCCUAGUUUCCGUGCCCAACGUUUGACCGUCCGUCUUAUUUGAAAAAAUUAUGAAAAAAAUUAAAAAGACAAGUCACACAUAAAAUAUUAAUCAUGUUUUAUCAUCUAACAACAAUGAAAAUACGAAUUAUAAAAAAAUUUAUAUAAGACAGGCAGUCAAAGUUGAAAAAAAAACCCCAGGAUUUGCCUUUAUU